rnacentral:rRNA from 1 species
UACAGAGGGGGCAAGCGUUGUUCGGAAUUACUGGGCGUAAAGGGCGCGUAGGCGGCCUGUUAAGUCGAACGUGAAAUCCCCGGGCUCAACCCGGGAACUGCGUCCGAUACUGGCAGGCUUGAAUCCGGGAGAGGGAUGCGGAAUUCCAGGUGUAGCGGUGAAAUGCGUAGAUAUCGGGAGGAACAUCAGUGGCGAAGGCGGCUGCCUGGCCCAAUACUGACACUCAGGUGCGAAAGCGUGGGGAGCAAACAGG